UACGAAGGGGGCUAGCGUUGUUCGGAAUUACUGGGCGUAAAGCGUGCGCAGGCGGCUUCUCAAGUCAGGGGUGAAAGCCCAGAGCUCAACUCUGGAAUUGCCUUUGAGACUGAGUGGCUUGAGUACGGGAGAGGUGAGUGGAAUUCCCAGUGUAGAGGUGAAAUUCGUAGAUAUUGGGAAGAACACCGGUGGCGAAGGCGGGUCACUGGGUAGUAACUGACGCUGAGGAACGAAAGCGUGGGUAGCGAACAGG
rnacentral:rRNA from 1 species